AAUUAACCUAGGUAUUGGCGCGCCUCAAUUUAAAUGCAUGGUUAGCGUCUGAUUUUUAACCAUGUAGUUUGAUUGAGCCGCGUCAAUAUCUCGCUCAUCUUG
rnacentral:pre_miRNA from 1 species